rfam:Brachypodium distachyon strain Bd21 chromosome 2, whole genome shotgun sequence.
GAUGUACUUCCUCCGUCCAAAAAAGGAUGUCUCAAUUUUGAUUAAAUUUGAAUGCAUCUAUACGCUAAGUCAUGUCUAGAUACAUCCAAAUUUUAACAAACUUGAGACAUCUUUUGUUGCACGGAGGAAGUAUUAU